CACAAAUGCACAGUGUCUUUGUAUUUUUUGAGUGUAUUUCUUAGUGUAUUUUGUUAAUUUUUGUCUUUGUAUUUGAAUGUAUUUGUUGAAAUCCAUUCAAAUACACAAAAAUUUGAAUAUAUUUGGCUUCAUAUGUAGUUGGAAUGUACACAGUGUAUUUGAAAUACAUCAAAAAAAACCAUUGAAAUACAUAAAAAAAAAAUUAGUAAAAUACAUAAAAAAAAAUCACUGAAUUACAUAAAAAAAAAAGACACGGAAAUACAUUAUGGCAAAACAAAAAAUAAAUCACUGAAAUACAUAAAAAAAAAAUCACUGAAAUACAUCAAAGCAAGAAAAAAAAAUCACUAAAAUACAUCAAAAAAAAAUAUUAAUAUCUAAUUUAAUAGCUCCACCGUUAAAGGCUAAAAUCAAGGAUCCUGUUUUUUUUACCGUGUUCUCAUGUAUUUGUUGGCAACAAAUACAUGCGAAAACAUACACUAUUUUACUAAAAUGUAGCUACAAAUGAUAAUAUUUAAAAAGGUAACUACAAAUGGUAGGAAGUUAUAAUAAGGUAGUCAUUUGAAUAAGUUUGUCUUUUUUAUUUAUAUGAAAUCAAACAAAACAGAGUCCAACAAAGGCAUGCCCAAAUGGGGUCCAACCCAAAAAGAGAAAAAUAAAAAAGAAACAAAAUAUAUCAAUUGUCCUAAAAAAAACAUUAGGAAAGUUGAACCCAUCAGAAUUUGUUGCCCUAAAUUCUCACUUAUUCUCUCCCUUCCACUUUGUUUCUUUCUCUACGCCGCCGGUGCAAAAAUGAUGAGCUAGCCGGAGAUUGUUAUCAACUUCAACUUCAUGAAAAACUUGAGCUAAUUUGCACCCAGAAUCAUUGAUCAAUUCCACUUCCCUCUGCUCUAACCGUACUAGUUAUGCUUCUCUUCUCUUUGUUGCAAUUUUGUUACUUUCUUCACCAAAUGUAUGACCUCUUAUUUGUUUGAGUUGUGCAUUUAUUGAAUCCUCUCUGAAUGUGUUUGUUUCAUGUUGAAUCGAGACCUUGAUGUAUUGUUAUGACAGUUCUAUAAAUCGGUUGUCUAGGUCAACUGUUCUCCAUAUGCAAGGUCUAUAUGUGAGUGCUAGUUGAUUUCGAAGAGGCAAUGAGAGGUCUGUCAUUUGGAAUUUUUGAGGUGAGCUGCUGGCUGAUUCGCUGCAUCGGACUCUGACUCUUUUCUUUAUUUAGCUGUUUUUCUAUGUCUAGACCGUGUGGUGUCAAAAUUCUUGUAUUUAUUUUCAGGUUAGGUGCUCUUGACUAAUAUCACCAAAAUUUUGGGGUAUUUGAUUGUAUUUUCCCCACUUAUGUAAAUUCGUGAUGUCUUUUAUAACUUAUCACCUAUUACGCUUACUUUAUGCAUGGUAAUAAUAGAAAUGGAUUAAGAAUAUAGAAAUAGUUCUAUGGGGUGGGUGUAGGUGUCAUCGCGGCUUAGAAAAUUUUGGGUCAUGAUAUAUAAAACUGCAUAUGUCAAUUCUACUUAAGUAGAAUUCCUAAGUAGGAGCAAAUUAGGCUGGUAAUAAACAAUCAUGAAUCACAACCUAACACGCAUCUUACAGCUAAGAGCUCGUUGGGAUUAGCUGAUUGAAAGUAACUGAUAAAUAUUAAGUGAUGAAAAUUAUAAAGUAUUGUUGAUUUUAUAAAUAAAUAAUUGCGUGUUUUAAUAGAAAUUACAAAACUGAUAAUAAACGGUUGAUGUAUUUGAUAAAAAUGAUGAUGAACAAUUUAUAUCCUUAAAGUUAUUUGCAAAAGUUAUGAAUUAAAAGGUAUCUAAACGAGGAAAAUAUUACAACAAUAACAUACCCAGUAAAAUCUCACAAAGUGGGGUCAGGGGAGGGUAGAGCGUGCGUAGACCUUACCCCUAUCUUGAGAGGUAGAGAGCCUGAUUCCAGUAGACCCUCGGCACAAAAACAAGCAGUUAAAAGAAGUACCAAAAAAGAAAUAACGGAAGCGGAUAAGUCAUGCAAAAGUCUAUAAAAAGCAUGAAGUAGUCCGAGAAAAGAAAAAUGAAAAGAUACUAGGGAUGAAAUUGUAAAAUUCUCGAAUUAAAAAUGCUUAUAAGCUAAAAAAUCAUGAGUUGAAGGAUGAUCAACUUAUGACUUUUGGUUGACAUCGAUGCUACUUACCUUAUAAGUACUUCUAAAUUUAUCUAACAGAUAAAUAGACAACAAAACAUUUAUAAGCUAAUUUGACCAACUUAUAAAGUUCACCCAACCACCCUCUAAAUCCGUGUAGAAACUACUGGAAUGCUAGCAAUAUCACAAAUCAAAUUGUUUUAGAGUAAUAUCAAAUAUCCGCAGUUGCAUUUCUGGAUGAUUUUACAUGAUUCCUAAAUUUUAUUUGUCCUUUUCAUUCUCUCUUUUGUUCUCUUGCUUGUUAUAGUUGUAAAUCAACUUGACUAAAUCCUUAACGAGAAGAUCAAGAUUCAGGGCCUAUGUGCUUGUUUUUUUUAUAGUCUAUACUGCAAGAAACAUUGAAUAUUGCAUGUUAAUUAACAAAUAACAGAACAAAUAUCUAUCAGUCUCCUGAUUAAAUUGGUUAAUUCUUAUUCAAAAGAAUGAUUGCAUGUAUUGAAUAUGAGAUAUCUAAAGGAAAUUAAUUAAUAUGUAUCAACAAAAGAUCCAAUAAUACUAUAAUUUCAUUUGCAUACAACAUGUCUAGGUCCAACAAACAAAAUUGUCUGUAACGUAAUGUAGCUCACUACUUUGUCUGAGUAUUUAGAUAUUGGCAUUUGGAAAGCUUAUACAACAGAGUUCUCUAAUUCAAAUUUGUUGAAUCUAAAAAAAAAAAAAAAUGAAUCAACAAUUUUAGUCUUGUAUAGCAAGGAUAGAAUCAAAAUUCUGAACCAAGCUAGAGCUCUCACUUCUCUAAUACAUUUUGUAGUACUACAACCUACCCUCCCUCGAAUACGCUGAGGAAUCUUUCUUUUCUUGUGAGAGAGUAAGGAGGGAGGAGAGAAAACUAAUUUUCUUAACGAUUGAGACUUAAUACAAAGUGAUUCAAUAUACGGGAGCCUCCAGUCUACUCUAAUAAGGCAACAUGUCCUUUUUACAAGACAUAUUUAAUUUAAAUGAUCUUCUAAAUAAUAUACAAAGAGCAAUUCAGACAAAUUAUGUACAAUGAAUUUGGACAUUCAUGACACUCUCGCUCAAAUUAGAGCAUCUAGAUCACAGGCUCCCAAUUGCCACAUAUACUUGAUUACAUGACCUGAGUGCUAGCUUGGUUAACGUAUUUGCCAACUAAUCGUUUGAAUACACAAAAUCAAUAUAAUAUUUAAGAGUUUUUUUUCCUAAAAAUACAAAAUCAAGGCCCUAAUGACCAUAUUUAAAGAAGUGGUAUUGACAUGUGUUUAACUAAAUAUUUUAUUUAGCAAAUUAAUCCUAAAAGAAAUGGCAUACAACAGUCGUCUCCCUAAAUCUCUCUAUUUUUCCUCUUUCAUUCCAUUCGUGUCUCUCUCCUCCAUUCUUUCUCUUUGUUCCAUCCGCGUCUCUCUCCUACAUUUUCCCUCUCUUUCAUUCCCUCCCCUUAAAUCUCUCUUCCAUUUUUCUUUCACUUAAAAUCUAUCUAAUUAAACCCAAUAUUCUAUUAAAAUAUAUCCUUAUUUUUCAAUUCAGUCCUUUUUUGCCUUCUUUCACAGAGGAGGAAAGAAUAAUCUUCCAAGCGGACAGAGACCUAAAUUUUCAUUAGAUUCGUUCUUUAGCUUGCUUUGUUACAGCAAGAUGGACCACUACUGAAAAAAAGGGCUUUUUCGAUCAAAAAUUUCGACCACAUUUUUGGUCAAAAAAAAAUCGACCACGCGCGGUCGAAAAAUUAAGAAUUUAAUUUUUAUUUUAUUUUCAGUAGGAUUUCGACCACACGGGUCGAUUUUUUAAAAUGAAAAUAUAAUUUCGACCACGUGCUGGUCUUUACUUUUCGAUUGAAAGUUUUUUUUCUCUCUCUUUCCUCUCUCCCUCUCCUCUCUCUACCCACACACACCACCUCUCUCCCUCUCCUCUCUACCCACACCACCAGCCCACCGCCUCACCAGCCCAGACCCUCAACCCACCGCCUUCCGACCACCGUCAGUCCACCGUCGGCGGCGCAGCCCAUUUUUUUGCAGGAUCCAAACAGUGGGAGAAGUAGAUAAUAAACAAACUGAGAAAACAAACAACAACAAUAAUAAUGGUGAAUUCUUUGACCCUGGGGCACCACCACCAUUUAAGUUGUCUGAUAUUAGGGCAACUAUUCCUAAGCAUUGUUGGGUUAAGAAUCCAUGGAAGUCUAUGAGUUAUGUUGUGAGAGAUGCUGUUAUUGUCUUUGGGCUGGCUGCUACAGCUGCUUAUUUCAAUAAUUGGCUUGUUUGGCCUCUUUAUUGGUUUGCUCAAAGCACUAUGUUUUGGGCUUUGUUUGUUCUUGGUCAUGAUUGUUACCUGAGAAGAUAUACAAGAGUCUAGAUGAUGCCACAAAGAAAUUGAGGUUUACUCUACCCUUCCUCUUGCUUGCAUAUCCUUUCUAUCUGUGGAGUAGAAGCCCCGGAAAGAAAGGUUCUCACUUUGAUCCAAGCAGUGAUUUGUUUGUCCCAAGUGAGAAGAAAGAUGUGAUCACUUUAAAUGGAUAUGUAUAUUAUGUUUAAGGGUUUGAAUGUAGUUUUAAUUUGAACUACAAGUACUUUUAAUUUUAAGAUGUUUAAGUGUUUGAACGUAGUUUAUGAUGUUUAAGUGUUUGAAUGGACAAUGUUUAGGUGUUCAAGUGUUUGAACAUUGUUUAUGGUUGUUGUGUUGCAUUGUUGAUGAA